ensembl:misc_RNA
CUGACAACUGUGAGGCCUGAAGUAAUUUAUUUAUCUCCAAACAAUAUAAAGUAUAGACUGCCACAGCGCAAGUUUUCUUCACACUGCCCUGCCAAUGAAUUUCAACCUUGCCUGGUGGGACUACCUCUGGGGGUGAGAGAGUAGUUCAGUUUUCCUGAGUAUUCAUUCUUUGGCUUCU